rnacentral:rRNA from 1 species
GACGAACGCUGGCGGCGUGCCUAAUACAUGCAAGUCGAGCGCUGAUGUUUGGUACUUGUACCAACUGGUUGAGCAGCGAACGGGUGAGUAACGCGUGGGGAAUCUGCCUUUGAGCGGGGGACAACAUUUGGAAACGAAUGCUAAUACCGCAUAAAAUCUUUAAACACAAGUUUUAAGUUUGAAAGAUGCAAUUGCAUCACUCAAAGAUGAUCCCGCGUUGUAUUAGCUAGUUGGUGAGGUAAAGGCUCACCAAGGCGAUGAUACAUAGCCGACCUGAAAGGGUGAGAGGACACAUUGGGACGGAGACACGGCCCAAACUCCUACGGGAGGCAGCAGUAGGGAAUCUUCGGGAAAGGACGAAAGGCUGACCGAGCAACGCCGCGUGAGAGAAGAAGGUUGUCGGGUCGUAAGACUCUGUUGGUAGAGAAGAACGUAGGUGAGAGUGGAAAGCUCAUCAAGUGACGGUAACUACCCAGAAAGGGACGGCUAACUACGUG